UACGUAGGUGGCAAGCGUUGUCCGGAUUUAUUGGGUUUAAAGGGUGCGUAGGCGGCCCUGUAAGUCAGUGCUGAAAUAUCCCGGCUUAACCGGGAGGGUGGCAUUGAUACUGCAGGGCUUGAGUAAAGUUGAGGUAGGCGGAAUUGACGGUGUAGCGGUGAAAUGCUUAGAUAUCGUCAAGAACACCUAUAGCGAAGGCAGUUAUCUAGGCUGUAACUGACGCUGAGGCACGAAAAGUGUGGGGGAUCAAAACAGG
rnacentral:rRNA from 1 species